ACCAUCUCUGAGUCCCAUCUAUGAAAGACUCAUAGGGAGGUUGAAAUUGCACCACAUGUACAAUAUCUGGCCCAAUGUAGGAAAUGUAUAAAUGUUAGCUUCAUCCCCCAGGGAAGCCCACUGAGAUCCACGUGAAACCUUUGUCUGUGUCUCCCCAUAAUGUGACCUUUAGAAGUUGCCAAUGACCCACCCAAUACCCAACCAUGAUUUUUCUGAGAUAAUCUGCCCGAGGUGUGUGAGAGGAAACGCAAAGAAGGCAGUCAGGAGGAUUCACUCUUGGGGGAGCUGGCUAGGAUCCUAUCUCCUCCUACAGCCAGAGCAUGCAGGCUCCAUUUAGAUACAAAGGGGUGGGAUUGGGUUCCUGGGGAGAAAUUGAGCCCCUUUGAUUCUGCGGUUCUAAAUCUGGCAGCUCCUUGGCUAUCCACCCCCAGGCUUUGUGAUUGGUUGGCUGUGGCUGGGGGGGCAGGAAGCUGCUGGUGGAGCUGCAGCAUCCUUCAGUCUCAGGCCCCCGGGAGGGGGAGGGGAAAGAACCAGGGCUGAGCCGUGGAGGGAAGAGGAGCCAUUUCUCUCCACCGACUGCAACCUCUGUGCUCACAGCUCUCACGUUUCACCAGAAUCCAGGGGCCUGGUCGGCCUAGGAAUUCACAAUGCUGGAUAUUUUCAUCCUGAUGUUCUUUGCCAUCAUAGGCCUGGUCAUUCUGUCCUACAUUAUCUAUCUGCUCUAGUGGCCUGGAGCUGCGGCCGGAGUCUGUUGGAGAACAGCUCAGAAGGAAGGAUGGAGCUGAAUGGCCGAGUGCCCUGCUUGCUGACGCAGCGGUGGAUUUUUGCUUCUGCUGUUAUCUCGGCUCCUGGUCUCUCCAGUCCAAUAAGAGGCCUCUCAUCCACAGAAGCAGUCCCGCUGCCCAGCAGACCUCUUUCAGAGCCUUCCAGACACGGCUGACUCCUGGCAAGCAAGGGGCUUUUUGAGCUGAGAGGCACUUGGCUGGGACAUCAGGAAUUCAUGGACAUGGCUGGCAGAUACUGCAUAUGUUUGAGCUGUAGAUGGGAUUGAGAACAGAAAGUUGAAAUGGAGACUUAUUAAAGUUACUGUGGAGAACCGCUCAAAAA